UUUAUCAGCCACACCACAAUGAACAAGCCCGAUCUCGUCUGAUCUCGGAAGCUAAGCAUGAUGGGGUGUAACGGUGGUCAUUCAGUGAAGAACUGGCAGACAACA
rnacentral:rRNA from 10 species